CUAAAAAUUGGGUUUUAAACUGUUGAUCUUUUGCGGAAUAUUUAAUGCAUCGUGAUGAAAACCCUUAAUGUUGUGCUCCACAUGAAAAACACACUUCUGCACCAAAAUCAGGUACACUUUAUUGGUAUUUCGAGGUGUUAUUGCACUUCAUAAUGCAAGGAAUUAGAUAGAUACCCUUAACUAAACACAGUGUCUAGGAUUUAAACUCAAAUGCCGACUUGUACGCUUUUUUUGCUAGGCCCGUUUCAAAUGUUGUAUUAACGUCGUGUCAAACUCAAUUCCCUUAUGUCCUUACAGUUGAAUUAGUAAAACAUGCGGAGUUCAAUACCAAGUCACGCUUAUGUAGUGUAGCUCGACCGAAAGACCAAAUAGAAGAGUCGAGUUAAAAUAGAUUUUGGAUGAAACGUCGCGCGCGUUCGAGCCAACGCUGCCACUGAGUUUGAACAGGGCCUGAGAAUCUCAUCGCUUUAUGAGGGCCUCUCUUAACCUAAAAGUAGUAACACAAUGUUCUAGUUACAAAAAAUCUGAAGACUACUAAAAUAGUGUCACAGCACCCUUUGAGACGAUGGUUUAUGAAAUACCGAAUUCGCCACUAUGAAGUACCGUUGUUUUGACCUCGAUUGAUCCCUUACCGUGUCAUUAUUGAGAUGAAUAAUCUCCACAAAAACAUUGUGAAACUUUCUGUCAUCUCCAUAUUCCAAUCUGAUCCGUUCCAAUCCGGGUUUUAUCAACACCGUUUGCAAGUAGCCUGCGUGCAGCCGGAAAUAGUUCCAGAGGUUAAGCUUGCGUUUACCAGAUGUACGCAGGCUAUUUGCCAAUAGCCACUAUCGAAUCCCAUCGAGCAUGGGCAAAAUUAUUUUUGCAGUUACCAUGAGAAGCCACUUUGAGCUCCUCUGAACUCUCUCUGUAAAAGCGCUUGCUUGAGGUUAGUAGCAGAUUUGUAGCUUAUUGAGGCUAAAGUUUAUUUUGCUGUAAAUAGGACUAUUAAAAUACCAGAAGACCGAUACUCCAGAAUUUUACUACAUAAGUUAAUACAAGGCCAAGACAAUCAAUGACAGCACUCAUUUCAAUAAGAAACAUGUGUCGAUCAGCUUCGAACUUCUGCAAUCUUGAAAGACAACUUCUACUUUAACAAUUCAUUCUUAUUUUGUUUAUGCGAUGGUAUUAAGUGUGAGCAUUUUGUUGUCAAAGGUUCUGGAAAUCUGAUAGCUUGAGUUUCAAAACAUUACCUUAUUUGUAAAUCCAUCUCUAACAGCUGUCACACCUCUCAAUAAAACAGGCUCAUAACCAGUUUUCAAUCGUGUAAACCAAAAGGUAGGCAAAAUACAGAGAAAAGAGGCCUACUAGCAGGGAAAUUUGCAUGCUCAACGGGAUUUAAUAUCAACAGAGAGUUUUCUCCUCUAGACACAAACAAACAAGAAUAUGUAAGAACAGAGAUGCAACAUGGCCCGGGGUGGUCAAGGGUAUAAAAUUCUUACCAACUGCCAUCUCUUAGGGAGUGUUUUAGGAUUUUUUUCCGAUUCUGCUAUCUCUUAGGGGUUUUAAUGCCCGGGGAGUAGGAUUUUUCCGACUCUGCUAUCUUUUAGGGUGUCGCACGCUUAAUGGUGGCCUAAUCGCUCAAUUGUAUAAUUACAAUAAAUACAAGUCAAUUGGUUGAUACUUCCAACCUUAUUGUCGAUAACACAAUAAUACAGGAUCCAUCAGCCAAUUUAAACAAGCAUUGUUUUAUUAAUGCUAUCUCUCAGGAUAAAAAAUUCCUUUGACCGUUAAAAAUUGUUGUUGACCACGCCCUUAGUGCUAUCCUUUAGGGUUAAAAUUGAUUUUGCUGUCAAGCAUCCCAUCUGUUUUUCUUGAAUUCCCUCCCCCCUGGGCUCAGUGUUCAGCCGAGCGUACCUAUUGUCCAACGGCGUCGGUCAAGGAGUAAAAUGGCUGCUUACUCGUUUUAAAAAAUGGCUAGCGGCCAGGGAAAAUGAUUUAGCUCGGAUGUUUUGCCACAUAUCGAAUGUAUGAGUACUGUUUUGGCCUCUCUUCCCUAGGACCAAUGCUUUAUGUGGUUAAGAUGGACAUACUGGCUCCCAGGUGAUACCCCAAGAUUUUGGUUUUGGAGGAAUCAUUGCAGAAAUAACCCUAAAUACCUAAAUGGAUGUGUCUCAUACCCUUUAAAGAUGUCAAUAGAAAACAAAGCAAAACACUAUUAUAUGAACUCUUUACAAUUUACUCAUUUUUUUAAAAGCAUCUAUCAACAAAUAUGCACACCCAUAUGAUAAUUAACCUGAUAAUUUGACCCAAAA